CUGGCCCUCGAUAACUGCAGUUUGAGACCACUGGUAUAGUGUUAUGGAAAGUUACAAUGUGGUAUAUAAAUGUAAAACAACAGAAGCAGACCAUUACAGACUGAUGGUGGGAUUACAGCAGAGGGCAGAACAGAUGAAGGUGUGCAGGAGGAGGUCGUCCACGAAGCGUCACGCUUUGUACUCCAGUGAGCGGCGCGCUGCUGCAGCAGAAGGCCAAACCAUUGGAGUUGUCGCUUCUGGAUCAGCUGUUCCCGUUCUAUUCCUACCUCCACCUUCCUCUCUACCCAUUUUCCUCCCUCUCUACCUGUCUACCUCUCUUCCUCACUCACAUCCCGUCUUUUCCGCUUCUUAGAAUUACUCUUCGCCUUCUUUCCUUGUUGUCCUUCCUCUUUACAUGUCUUUACUUCCUUUCUGUUUUAAUCCCUCCUUGUAUUCCUGUUGUACUUCGCUUUCUCAAUGUCUUCUUCCCUGAGUGCCCACAAUUUCCUGUCCUUCUGCUAUUCCUGUCUCCCUCUCCCCUCCCUCUCUGUCUCCUUUUCUCCAUCCCUUCUUCCCUUUCUCCCUUUCCCUCCCCCUC